rnacentral:misc_RNA from 1 species
GGUGAUUGGGUUAUUAGAACCUAGAAAGGUAGAGGAGGAGAUGCAGAAGGUAGAGGUUGCUCCCGCUGGGACAGAGGAGCAAGUUGAGCCAAAGAAGAUUGACAGGCAGAUCCGGGUCUUCUUCUCUGUCCCUGAAAAUGUAGCAGCAAAAAUUGAGCUGCCAGAUUCAUUUUACAACCUGUCUCUUGAAGAGCUGAAAAGAGAAGCUGAUGCAAGGAAGAAAAAAAUUGCAGAAUC